rnacentral:misc_RNA from 1 species
GGAAACUCUCAAGUUAAUUUUUGUUAACUUGGAUUUGGACUCUGCUGUAUGUGGCGCCCAAGUACGGCUGGUCUUAAAUUUAUUAGCUGGUCCCUUAUUUUAAAAGGUUUUUGGGGGUUCUACUCAGCGUGAUAAAUUAUCUAACGUUGAGGACAGUCUCUUCUCAAGGAACUGGCCCCCUUAAUCUUUUUGGGAUUGCUUUCUAAUCGUCAUUAGACAAAAACUUAAUCCGA